AUAGGGUUGCAUUGACAACGGACGUAGAUCACUUAUCUCUAGCAAAAUAGAAGAUGUUGCUGUCUGGAAUUGUGCGAACAACUGCAGUAGAAGAUGCUAUCAAAAAGCAGAAGUUGGUGUCUCCGAUGCCAGCUAAAUCUCCCAAAUUGAAAUGGAUGGCUGUUGGAGGCUUCGUUGUGGGCUUCAUGGCAGUUUUGAAAUACACCGGCAACCUGAAUAAGGCGUUCUUCAUUGAUUGGUUUAAAGAAAUGCCAACAGACGUUAAACAACGUGCUGGUGGAGGCAUGGCUGAGUCACCAAGCGACGUCAGACUACCUCCUGGAUCGCGCAAAAACUAGGUAACUCCAGCUGUAUGGCUGCGUUGGAAUAAACCCGAAACCAAAUG